rnacentral:rRNA from 1 species
UACGAAGGGGGCUAGCGUUGCUCGGAAUCACUGGGCGUAAAGCGCACGUAGGUGGGUCGUUAAGUCGGGGGUGAAAUCCUGGAGCUCAACUCCAGAACUGCCUUUGAUACUGAGGAUCUUGAGUUCGGGAGAGGUGAGUGGAACUGCGAGUGUAGAGGUGAAAUUCGUAGAUAUUCGCAAGAACACCAGUGGCGAAGGCGGCUCACUGGCCCGGUACUGACGCUGAGGUGCGAAAGCGUGGGGAGCAAACAGG